UCCUUGACCCCUGGCCUUCCACCUUGCCACGUUCCCUGGAGGCCCCGAAUCUGUGCAGCAGCUUUGUUUAGUAAACACCGUGGGGGAGGGUAAAGCAGCACAUUGGAGCGGCACCUUUGUACAAAGCCACGGUUUUCCCAGGGCAACGUGGCAGGCUGAGGAAGUACUGGGGCUGGGAAGGUCAGUGCCACCUGGGACUUGCCAGGUUCUGCCCUGUGUCCCCAAGGAAGGUUCUUGGUGUGCCUCCAGGAGAGACUGAGUAUUGCCCAAGUUAGGUGCGGCUAAGCAGGGCCAUUCUUUGUUCUUGUGUGAGCGUUGUCACGCAGGCAGCAAGCCAGAGGCACCCCUGACAGUGGGCACUGCUGCAGAAAAGAGGGUGAUUCUGGCCCAACUUCAUCCUCUCUCCCAGCCCCACAUACCUUUGAAUCUCCAGGAAUCCUAAACUCUGGGAGUUCCCCCAGCAGGUAGCAAAUCUAGGUAAUACUGGAUUAUUCCUGAAGAGGUCAAGACAAACCAAAAGCAUGUCCAACAUCAAACUCAAUCGUGAUAUCAUGCUUCUACCAAAACUACAGUGGGGGAAGUACCAAGUGUAUGGGCAUCUUUCUGACUGAUCACCUGGUCUCUGACCAUAAGCAGACUUCAUUGCUACAAAAGAAAGGAAUUUGAUUUUCACUGGAAA